rnacentral:tRNA from 1 species
GGAUAUGGCUCAAGUGAUAGAGUGCAUGCCUAGCAAGCACAAGGUCCUGGGUUCAAUCCCCAGUAUCUCCU